CCUACGGGCGGCUGCAGUGGGGAAUAUUGGACAAUGGGCGAAAGCCUGAUCCAGCCAUGCCGCGUGAGUGAUGAAGGCCUUAGGGUUGUAAAGCUCUUUUGGCGGGGACGAUAAUGACGGUACCCGCAGAAUAAGCCCCGGCUAACUUCGUGCCAGCAGCCGCGGUAAUACGAAGGGGGCUAGCGUUGUUCGGAAUUACUGGGCGUAAAGCGCACGUAGGCGGAUUAGCAAGUCAGGGGUGAAAUCCCGGGGCUCAACCUCGGAACUGCCUCUGAUACUGCUAGUCUAGAGUCCGGAAGAGGUGGGUGGAAUUCCUAGUGUAGAGGUGAAAUUCGCAGAUAUUAGGAAGAACACCGGUGGCGAAGGCGGCUCACUGGUCCGGUACUGACGCUGAGGUGCGAAAGCGUGGGGAGCAAACAGGAUUAGAUACCCCAGUAGUC
rnacentral:rRNA from 1 species